CUUGGGUCAAGGAGACUUCACAGAGGCCUGACAGCUCUACUCAGACGCGACUCCCUCUAAGGCUGGGAAGGACAGCCUGAAGAGGGGAAGUGGCUUGUCCAAAAGCACAAAGCUGUUAAGUGCGGAGACCAGAAUCAACUGCUUCCAAAUUCCUAACCCAUGACCACUGGGCAACAUUGCCUGGUAGGCAGGAAAACUUUGUAAGAUUUAUAGUUGAGGAAACUCGGAUUC